rnacentral:rRNA from 1 species
GAUGAACGCUAGCGGCAGGCUUAAUACAUGCAAGUCGAGGGGGCAGCAAUGUCACCGGCGGACGGGUGCGUAACGCGUAUGAAACCUACCUUUAUCAGGGGGAUAGCCCGGGGAAACCCGGAUUAAUACCGCAUAACAUAUUAAACGGCAUCGUUUAGUAUUGAAAGAUUUAUCGGAUAGAGAUGGUCAUGCGUAGGAUUAGCUAGUUGGUAAGGUAACGGCUUACCAAGGCGACGAUCCUUAGGGGCUCUGAGAGGAGUAACCCCCAAACUGGCACUGAGAUACGGGCCAGACUCCUACGGGAGGCAGCAGUAGGGAAUAUUGGGCAAUGGGCGAGAGCCUGACCCAGCCAUGCCGCGUGCAGGAAGACGGCCCUCUGGGUUGUAAACUGCUUUUGAAUGGGAAGAACGGUAGGCCUGCGGGCUUAAUUGACGGUACCAUUAGAAUAAGCCACGGCUAACUACGUGCCAGCCGCCGCCGUAACAC